rnacentral:tRNA from 1 species
GGAGUUGUAGCUCAGUGGUAGAGCACUUGCCUGGCAUGUGUGAGGCCCUGGGUUCGAUCCCCAGCACCA